ACAUGAACAUSNACAUUUCGAACGCACRUUGCGGUCCACGGAUACAAUUCCCGGACCACGCCUGGCUGAGGGUCG
rnacentral:rRNA from 1 species